rnacentral:rRNA from 1 species
GGAUCAGCCCGCUCCCGGUAAAACGGGACGGCCCGCCAGAGGACCCCUAAACUCUGUUUCUAUAUGUAACUUCUGAGUAAAACCAUAAAUAAAUCAAAACUUUCAACAACGGAUCUCUUGGUUCUGGCAUCGAUGAAGAACGCAGCAAAAUGCGAUAAGUAAUGUGAAUUGCAGAAUUCAGUGAAUCAUCGAAUCUUUGAACGCACAUUGCGCCCGCCAGUAUUCUGGCGGGCAUGCCUGUUCGAGCGUCAUUUCAACCCUCAAGCACAGCUUGGUGUUGGGACUCGCGUUAAUUCGCGUUCCUCAAAUUGAUUGGCGGUCACGUCGAGCUUCCAUAGCGUAGUAGUAAAACCCUCGUUACUGGUAAUCGUCGCGGCCACGCCGUUAAACCCCAACUUCUGAAUGUUGACCUCGGAUCAGGUAGGAAUACCCGCUGAACUUAAGCAUAUCAAUAAGCGGAGGAA